GAAGCAACAAUGGACCAUGGGAGACGCCCAUCUACACUGAGUGGACUGUCAUGUAAAUGUGCUGUCUGGAAUGUAAGAGCUGGCAGUACUGGAUCUGACCUGGUAGAAUGGUGGCAGUGAACUGGAUGGGAGCUGCCACCUGAGGCUAGAGAAGAACUGGUCAGGCAGUGGCAGACUGGAUGGAGGCAAUUUCAGAAGACUGAUCCUACCUCUAGCAGCAGGAAUGGAGAGGAAAAAGAAAAUUAAGUUUUGCCCUCCACAACAACAGGAGGGGAGGGAACUCAAGAUCGGAUUCCCUCAUGCCAGAAUA